rnacentral:rRNA from 1 species
CUCAAGGGAAUUGACGGGACCCGCACAAGCGGUGGAGGAUGUGGUUUAAUUCGACGCAACGCGAAGAACCUUACCUAGGCUUGACAUGCUGGCGAAAACCGUGGAAACACGGUCCUCCCGCAAGGGACGCUAGUACAGGUGGUGCAUGGCUGUCGUCAGCUCGUGUCGUGAGAUGUUGGGUUAAGUCCCGCAACGAGCGCAACCCCCGCCGUUAGUUGCCAGCGGUUCGGCCGGGCACUCUAACGGGACUGCCCGCGAAAGCGGGAGGAAGGAGGGGACGACGUCUGGUCAGCAUGGCCCUUACGGCCUGGGCGACACACGUGCUACAAUGCCCACUACAAAGCGAUGCCACCCGGCAACGGGGAGCUAAUCGCAAAAAGGUGGGCCCAGUUCGGAUUGGGGUCUGCAACCCGACCCCAUGAAGCCGGAAUCGCUAGUAAUCGCGGAUCAGCCAUGCCGCGGUGAAUACGUUCCCGGGCCUU